rnacentral:tRNA from 1 species
GCUCAUGUGGCGGAAUUGGUAGACGCGCUAGAUUCAGGAUCUAGUGAGUAACUUCGUGGAGGUUCGAGUCCUCUCGUGAGCACCA